rnacentral:rRNA from 1 species
GAUGACGAGCGGCGGACGGGUGAGUAAUGCUUGGGAACAUGCCUUGAGGUGGGGGACAACAGUUGGAAACGACUGCUAAUACCGCAUAAUGUCUACGGACCAAAGGGGGCUUCGGCUCUCGCCUUUAGAUUGGCCCAAGUGGGAUUAGCUAGUUGGUGAGGUAAUGGCUCACCAAGGCGACGAUCCCUAGCUGGUUUGAGAGGAUGAUCAGCCACACUGGGACUGUGACACGGCCCAGACUCCUACGGGAGGCAGCAGUGGGGAAUAUUGCACAAUGGGCGCAAGCCUGAUGCAGCCAUGCCGCGUGUGUGAAGAGGGCCUUCGGGUUGUAAAGCACUUUCAGUCAGGAGGAAAGGUUAGUAGUUAAUACCUGCUAGCUGUGACGUUACUGACAGAAGAAGCACCGGCUAACUCCGUGCCAGCAGCCGCGGUAAUACGGAGGGUGCGAGCGUUAAUCGGAAUUACUGGGCGUAAAGCGUACGCAGGCGGUUUGUUAAGCGAGAUGUGAAAGCCCCGGGCUCAACCUGGGAACUGCAUUUCGAACUGGCAAACUAGAGUGUGAUAGAGGGUGGUAGAAUUUCAGGUGUAGCGGUGAAAUGCGUAGAGAUCUGAAGGAAUACCGAUGGCGAAGGCAGCCACCUGGGUCAACACUGACGCUCAUGUACGAAAGCGUGGGGAGCAAACAGGAUUAGAUACCCUGGUAG